CCCUUAGAUGUUCUGGGCCGCACGCGCGCUACACUGAUGCAUUCAACGAGUCUAAAACCUGCUCUGAUAGGGGUGGGUAAUCUUUUGAAUGUGCAUCGUGAUUGGGAUAGAUGAUUGCAAUUUUUCAUCUUCAACGAGGAAUGCCUAGUAAACGCAAGUCAUCAGCUUGCAUUGAUUACGUCCCUGCCCUUUGUACACACCGCCCGUCGCUCCUACCGAUUGAAUGAUCCGAUGAAUAUUAUGGAUUGAGGAUGCAAGUAGGUUCGCCUAUCUUCAUCUUCGAGAAGUGAAGUAAAUCUUAUCAUUUAGAGGAAGGAGAAGUCGUAACA
rnacentral:rRNA from 1 species